rnacentral:lncRNA from 1 species
GUUUCCAACCUCCAAUAUAGAGCUUCCCCGGCGCACACCUUCCCUCUGGAUUUCUCUUAGUCUAUUGUUUAUUUUAAUGUCUAUUCUGACUACUGGUUUUCCAGGCCCGGGGUGACAGGCUCCUUCUUUGCUUUGUUCAGUGCCUAAUAGCUUAUAGCAUCUCAAUACACAUCUGUAAGAUGGAGGGAGGAAAAGAGGGAGAGAGGGUAGGCCGGCAAGUGAUGAGGCUGUCCUAAGUAGAAAAAGAACAAAGCAUGAAGGUGUUGCUCCCAUUUCUACCCUGACAAGCAUGUCCACCCACCUCGAGCCAUGUCCAGCUCGGUGCAUCUCCGGUCAGGGUUGGUAUGGACACGACACUUAAACACAGCUCCAGGAGACUUUACUGAAGUGCUAUAUUUAGAAUCUGCCUUCGGUGCACCCACGAGGACCCUGCACAUCAAAAAGAAAGAGCGUGUGGUCACAAACCAGUGCUGGAGAAGAAAAGGCAGGGGGUUACAUCUUUGUCUAGGCAAGAGUGAGCAAUCUGAAUAGGCAUCAGGAAACACACACACACACACACACACACACACACAGACACACACACACACACAGCUUAAGUAAAACAACCAACUAAAAGAAACGCAAACCUUUGUAAACUUGACACAGCCAGAGUCAUCAGAGGGGGAAGGAGCCCCAAUUAAGAAAAUGCUUCUGUAAGAGUGGGGUGUAGGCAAGCCUACAGGCUAAUUUAUUAAUUAGUGAUUGAUGGGGGUAGGUCCAGCCCACUGUGGGCAGGGCCGCCCCUGAGCUGGUGGUCCUGGGUUUUAUAAGAAAGCAAUCAGAACAAAGGAUGAGAAGUGAGCUAGUAAGCAGCACCCCUCCAUGGCCUCUGCAUCAGCUCCUGCCUCCAGAUUCCUGCCCUUUCUGAAUUCCUGCCGACUUGCAUCAAUAAUGGACAAUGAUGUGAAAUACAAGCCAAACAAACCCUUCCCUCAAUAGGUUGCCUGUGGUCAUAGCCUGUCAUCACCCUGACUAAGGCCAUCGGUAGGUAACUGAACAGGCUCUCACUUUUACUAGUUACCGGUUACCAGAGGGAUAAGUAAGGGGGGGAGGGGAGGGAGGAUAGGCUAGGGAGGAGUCGGAUCAGUCUGGGCCUGGUGGGUGCCAAACACAAAGAGGGAAGCAACAUUAAGUUCACUUUGAGUUACAGAAAUAAAUCUGCCCUAAACUUUAAGUGUGUGCAUUCAUUCGUGAGUUGUAAGUGUACAUGUGUAUGUAUACACGCAUGUGCCCCCAUGUGUGUGCAUUCAUGUGUAUAUGUGAGCAGAGGUCACCUCUGGUUGUCAUUCUUUGG